UACAGAGGUCUCGAGCGUUGUUCGGAUUCAUUGGGCGUAAAGGGUGCGUAGGUGGCUUGGUAAGUCGGAUGUGAAAUCCCGGGGCUCAACCCCGGAACUGCAUUCGAUACUGCUUGAGCUUGAGUCCUGGAGAGGAGAUCGGAAUUUACGGUGUAGCAGUGAAAUGCGUAGAUAUCGUAAGGAAGACCGGUGGCGAAGGCGGAUCUCUGGACAGGAACUGACACUGAGGCACGAAGGCCAGGGGAGCAAACGGG
rnacentral:rRNA from 1 species